AUCAAGCACUUUUUGUUUAGAUUUAUAAAAUUACUCCAAACAAUGAUUUCACUUAACUAAUGAUUUAUUUUACUUUGCCCCCUAUUACAUUCACCUCCAUCUUCCACUUCUCCGAUCAACUUCUGUGGUGCCUAACCUUCCAACAACCCUCAUCCCUCCUUUGCCCUUGCCUUGCCCCGCCUCCUAUUUUUGUCAGAUAUUGUCAUUGCCUAUCGCCAUGCAACACUUGUCGCUGCCUUUUUUCUCUGCUUUUCGACCCCUAAACCCUUGUAAAAAAUUGCUUUUACAUUUCUCUCACCUUCAGUCUACCUUGUGAAUGGAACUCAACUCAUUUGCCAAAUAGGUCCACUUGGCGGAUAUGGGUCAUAUUGGUUCAAGUCCAUGUGGAGUUGGGUAGUUUGGCCAACAUGGGUGCAAACUCAAGUCAAGUCAAGUGGUGAAUUGUAUCUAUUAUCUUUCUCGUAGUGGCUUGUAGACCUCAAAGAGUCAUUUGGAAAAGUAUAUGGUGCAAGGAGAGAGAAUGAACAGGAUUUCUCUACCAAGGAGAGAGAAAUUGUCAAGGGUUUGACAAAGAAGGGUUUUGCUUGCUUGAAGAGAAAGAAGAAGAAGGUAUUCUUGAGCUCUUGAAAAAGAAGUGUUGCAGAAUUUUGCAAGAGAUUUAUUCUCACUUUUGGGUCACUUUCUUAUAGUUGUUUUGCUACAUCUCACACUCUUGUUUUAGCCAAUCGAUCAAAGCUAUGGUUUGUGCGUUUGAUUAGGUUCUCCAAGCUUUGGGAGAAAUUCUUGGUGGCUUUUAGAGGUGAUUUGAUAGCAUGCUGUUGCGUGGGAGUUAAAUAGUUAACCAUGUAAAUCUUCAAAUGCUUGUUAUUUCUUUUUCAAUCUUGUAGUUCUCUCAAGUUUCGGGCAUAUGCUUGAGAGGUGAAAAUUGUAAUCCUUUUACUUUGAUUUUUAGUGGAUUGUUCUAGGAGUUGCCCUGUGAUUUUUUUUCUUCACAUAGAAGGGCUUUUCACGUUAUAUCUUGUGUGUGCUUUAUUUGUGUUUAUUUUGUUUCCAUUCCAUUUCUAUUUUUGUUAUCUAUUUGUUUCUUAUUUGAUUUACACACGUGGGAAGGCUUUUCUGCAUCUCUUCCCAACACCCUCGUCCUCACUCCUCCCUCAUUCAUGCUAAUUUCAUAGAUUUUUCGACUGUUUCUUGUUCGACAUCUGGGUGAGAUUUCUUCUCCCUAUCUCUAUCUCUCUUGGAAGGAGGAGGAUGGGAGCAGGGGGUGAAUGAGGUUGUCGAUUGUAGGGGAGCCAUCAUAUUCCAUUUUUUUUCUCUACUCGCUGAACUCUGAAGAUGCUUUCUCGUUAUUGGCCAGUCGUGGGGGUGAGGGAAGAUCAUGCCACAGGAGUUGGCCGAGAUUUUUCAGUUUUUUCCCCCUCUUUAAUCUCUGUGGAAUUAAGGAAAAGGAGGAAAGAGAGAGGAAGAAGAGGACAAAAGGGUAGAGAAUUGAACAGAGUCACAUACCCGUUCGUAGAGACAGAAGGUGGGAAAGCGACUAGUGAGGGAUCCACGUGAGAUGGAGGCGUAGAGAAUCCAACGACGCUGUCAAAUCAAGAUAAUUCAGCAUUCAUCUUGAACAGGGAAAUCUCUCGGCCUUAUUUUCCAUUUCAUGCUUUAGUAUGUAUUGGGCUUACUAACUUUUUACAACCAGAAUCUUUUUAGAUAUGUAGUGUUCUAUUUCAUGGUCGAUUCAGACUAUCUAUCAUGGAACCUCCACAACACAAUCACUAGCUGAAACAAAAGCCGUUGGAGUUUUAUAUGGACUACGUCAAUCGACUACUAUGCAUUGGGUUGUCAUUGAAGUUUAGUUCUCCUCAAAGGACCUACUUCAGCUUAUUCCAAUACCGUCUCAUUCAACUUGGCUGUACUGUUUUAGUAUGUAUUGGGUUUACUAACUUUUUACAACUAGAAUAUUUUUGGAUA